AUUGAACGCUGGCGGCAGGCCUAACACAUGCAAGUCGAGCGGAUGAAGGGAGCUUGCUCCUGGAUUCAGCAGCGGACGGGUGAGUAAUGCCUAGGAAUCUGCCUGGUAGUGGGGGACAACGUUUCGAAAGGAACGCUAAUACCGCAUACGUCCUACGGGAGAAAGCAGGGGACCUUCGGGCCUUGCGCUAUCAGAUGAGCCUAGGUCGGAUUAGCUAGUCGGUGAGGUAAUGGCUCACCAAGGCGACGAUCCGUAACUAGUCUGAGAGGAUGAUCAGUCACACUGGAACUGAGACACGGUCCAGACUCCUACGGGAGGCAGCAGUGGGGAAUAUUGGACAAUGGGCGAAAGCCUGAUCCAGCCAUGCCGCGUGUGUGAAGAAGGUCUUCGGAUUGUAAAGCACUUUAAGUUGGGAGGAAGGGUUGUAGGUUAAUACUCUGCAAUUUUGACGUUACCGACAGAAUAAGCACCGGCUAACUCUGUGCCAGCCGCCGCAGUAA
rnacentral:rRNA from 1 species